rnacentral:rRNA from 1 species
GACGUACUUGUACUGAUUGAGAUUUUAACACGAAGUGAGUGGCGAACGGGUGAGUAACACGUGGGUAACCUGCCCAGAAGUAGGGGAUAACACCUGGAAACAGAUGCUAAUACCGUAUAACAGAGAAAACCGCAUGGUUUUCUUUUAAAAGAUGGCUCUGCUAUCACUUCUGGAUGGACCCGCGGCGUAUUAGCUAGUUGGUGAGGUAAAGGCUCACCAAGGCAGUGAUACGUAGCCGACCUGAGAGGGUAAUCGGCCACAUUGGGACUGAGACACGGCCCAGACUCCUACGGGAGGCAGCAGUAGGGAAUCUUCCACAAUGGACGCAAGUCUGAUGGAGCAACGCCGCGUGAGUGAAGAAGGGUUUCGGCUCGUAAAGCUCUGUUGUUAAAGAAGAACGUGGGUAAGAGUAACUGUUUACCCAGUGACGGUAUUUAACCAGAAAGCCACGGCUAACUACGUGCCAGCAGCCGCGGUAAUACGUAGGUGGCAAGCGUUAUCCGGAUUUAUUGGGCGUAAAGCGAGCGCAGGCGGUCUUUUAAGUCUAAUGUGAAAGCCUUCGGCUCAACCGAAGAAGUGCAUUGGAAACUGGGAGACUUGAGUGCAGAAGAGGACAGUGGAACUCCAUGUGUAGCGGUGAAAUGCGUAGAUAUAUGGAAGAACACCAGUGGCGAAGGCGGCUGUCUGGUCUGCAACUGACGCUGAGGCUCGAAAGCAUGGGUAGCGAACAGGAUUAGAUACCCUGGUAGUCCAUGCCGUAAACGAUGAUUACUAAGUGUUGGAGGGUUUCCGCCCUUCAGUGCUGCAGCUAACGCAUUAAGUAAUCCGCCUGGGGAGUACGACCGCAAGGUUGAAACUCAAAAGAAUUGACGGGGGCCCGCACAAGCGGUGGAGCAUGUGGUUUAAUUCGAAGCUACGCGAAGAACCUUACCAGGUCUUGACAUCUUCUGACAGUCUAAGAGAUUAGAGGUUCCCUUCGGGGACAGAAUGACAGGUGGUGCAUGGUUGUCGUCAGCUCGUGUCGUGAGAUGUUGGGUUAAGUCCCGCAACGAGCGCAACCCUUAUUACUAGUUGCCAGCAUUAAGUUGGGCACUCUAGUGAGACUGCCGGUGACAAACCGGAGGAAGGUGGGGACGACGUCAAAUCAUCAUGCCCCUUAUGACCUGGGCUACACACGUGCUACAAUGGAUGGUACAACGAGUCGCGAGACCGCGAGGUUAAGCUAAUCUCUUAAAACCAUUCUCAGUUCGGACUGUAGGCUGCAACUCGCCUACACGAAGUCGGAAUCGCUAGUAAUCGCGGAUCAGCAUGCCGCGGUGAAUACGUUCCCGGGCCUUGUACACACCGCCCGUCACACCAUGAGAGUUUGUAACACCCAAAGCCGGUGGGGUA